UUUAUGGCGCUCUUAUCUCACGUAGCCUAUAAAGUUCAACCGAGGCGUGAUUAUUGCUAAUUGAAAACUUUUACCAAUACCCCGUCAUGAUGACUUGAAAUAUAGUCAGCAUUGACAUUUUUUGACAGCCUCUCAGAAGG